AGGAGACCAGAGCGUUUACUUUGAAAAAAUUGGAGUGCUCAAAGCAGGCGAAUGCCUGAACAGUCGUGCAUGGAAUAAUGGAAAAGGGCCUCGGUGCUAUUUUGUUGGUUCUCGGUACUCGAGGUAAUGGUUGAAAGGGACAGACGGGGGCAUUCGUAUUGCGACGUUAGAGGUGAAAUUCUUAGAUCGUCGCAAGACGGACUACUGCGAAAGCAUUUGCCAAGAAUGUUUUCAUUAAUCAAGAACGAAAGUCAGAGGUUCGAAGGCGAUCAGAUACCGCCCUAGUUCUGACCUUAAACGAUGCCAACUGGCGAUCCGUCGGGGGUAUUUCCAUGACCUGACGGGCAGCUUCCGGGAAACCAAAGUUUUUGGGUUCCGGGGGAAGUAUGGUUGCAAAGCUGGAACUUAAAGGAAUUGACGGAAGGGCACCACCAGGAGUGGAGCCUGUGGCUUAAUUUGACUCAACACGGGAAACCUCACCAGGCCCAGACACUAGAAGGAUUGACAGAUUGAGAGCUCUUUCUUGAUUUGGUGGGUGGUGGUGCAUGGCCGUUCUUAGUUGGUGGAGUGAUUUGUCUGGUUAAUUCCGAUAACGAACGAGACUCUGGCCUACUAAAUAGAAGACGGAUCUAUUGGUCCGAUACCUCUUCUUAGAGGGACAAGGCAGCUCCAAGCUGCGUGAAAUGGGGCAAUAACAGGUCUGUGAUGCCCUUAGAUGUUCUGGGCCGCACACGCGCUACACUGAGGGAGGCAACGAGUUCUCCUGGCUCGAAAGGGCUGGGUAACCUGUUGAAUCUCCCUCGUGCUGGGGAUUGAGGUUUGCAAUUAUCCUUCAUGAACGAGGAAUUCCCAGUAAGUGCAAGUCAUAAGCUUGCGCUGACUACGUCCCUGCCCUUUGUACACACCGCCCGUCGCUACUACCGAUUGAAUGAUUUAGUGAGGACUUCGGACUGGGACCGUUGCGGCUUUCGGGUUGCGUCGGUACUCCGGAAAGAUGUCCAAAC
rnacentral:rRNA from 1 species